rnacentral:lncRNA from 1 species
AUCAAGCAUCCAUCCUCCAGUGUUAAAAGCUGACUCAAACACUAUAAUGGAAAUACAUAUAGCAAACACAUCACUAGCAAUAUUUGAGAAAAUUCAGUACUUAGUGCAACUUAACUUCCUCCAAUGCAAAACUCAAAAUGGGUCACCAUCAUCACAAGUGAGGUCUAGCAAAUAUUGAUCUAUCUCUUUUUUCAUAUCAUCAAUAGCAUAUUUCCUCGUAACUUCUUAAAGUGGGUCUUCAUCAUGUUAAUAAAUCCACUUUCAACUUACUUUUUAACUACUACCUCACUUGACAAUUAGAUAUCACUAGGAAGUGCAGCAUGUGUAAAAUCACUAGACAUUGAAUCUAAACUACAGUAAUGCUCAUAAAAUUCAACGAAUGACUCCUUAAUCUUUGCCAUCACUUUCUCCACCUCUACAACAUCAUUUAGAUUUUCAAGACAAGAGCUCACAUACUCUAACUUGUACUGCGGAUAAAGUACAACAAUAAUGAUGAAUUUUUUUAAUAUUUUCAACAGUAUCCCAAUACUUAUCAAACUUUGCUCUCAUUUUACAAUGCCCACUCCUCAAAACAACAACAUCAUCAUUUUCACGUGAAUAAUGCUAAGACUUAGUUUUAUUUUGUGUCCAAAAAAGCAUGUGAUAAAAUAACAAUUGUUGAAAUUCAUAAAAUUUAUUUAUUCAUUAUUUAUUUGAGCAUAUAUUACCCACCUUAUUUAUUCGAACUUGGACAUAUGAUGUUUCUACUAGAACAUAUAAAUCACAGGUUCUUUAUAAAUAAAAGAUUGUUUACCGCUAUUAAUAAAAUGUGCAUUUCAUUAUGUAAAACUGCAACUUCUCUACUUUUAUUGUGAAUGAUUUUAUUUUGAUCAUUGAAGUGGAGAUUUCAAGUAGAGUAGUUAAUAUAUAAAUGUGAUAUGCAUACUGAACUAGAUUAUAGUGAAUUAUGAUAUAGUUUAACAAAUGUUGUUGAUCUUAAUUCACAUAAGCUUUAAUAAGGUUAAUCAACCUUAAUGUUGAGUUGGAAAUGAAAUUGCAUUCAUAUAUUAUGUCUUUUGAGUUAUCACGGAAUGAGAUCCAUAUAAAUGGUCAAAAUCCCGAUACUUGAAGAUGCAAUUUCAUGGAUCAUGGGAACAUAUGCUUACAAGAUGGAAUCUAAACUAAUGAUGCUUACCUAAGUUAUUUGUGUUGCUUGAUCAUUUAAAUCUGUGGCCACAAUUUAUUCAAUAAAUUAUUUAUUGAAUAAUAAUAUUUAUUUAUAAAUAAAUUUACAAAUAUAGAUAUAUUACAAGUGAUCAUUAGAACAAGUACUUAAGGGUACAUAUGUAAUUAUAGAGACAUGACAUUUGUCAUUGCUUACCUUUAAUUACAAGCGUCAAAUAGAAGGUCAAUUAAGUGAUUAUUAUUAGUCUAUGACCAAAGUUAAAAUUAAUUAAAAGGAGUUUUAAUUAAUUAGGUUUUUAUUUAAUUGCAUGGGUUACUAGAGUGCACCUUUAGACUUUUAGUGGAAUAGUCUGGGUUUAACUUAAUAGUUUUAGUGUGUCAUGAGAUGACUGACCUUGACUUCUGAGUUGGAGACAAAAAGCCCAUGGGUCAUUAGUCCUUCAGUACUUCUGCUAAAUCAAUUCCUAGUCAAACCCUGAUUCUAAAAAAUGUCUAUAUAAAGAAGAGGAAAUUAGAAUAGAAAUAUGACUCUUAUAUAUAGAUAUUUUUGGAAGAAAAAAUAGAGUUUUACUGUUUCCAUCUCCUACACAGUAAUUAGGGCUUUUUACAUGCCCACACGUGUAAGGGAGACAAUUGAGGAUAGUAGAGAAGAUAGUAACUUUAUUAUGCAAAUCUCAACAAUGGUGGUGGAAAAUAUUGCAAUCGCCUUGUUCAAAUCUUCAACAAGAGAUCAAGAUAUUUCUCCAACCCUAUGCAUGUAUAUAUAAUCAAGAAAAAGUUCCUAACUUUUGCUUAUUCUAUAAACUAGAAAAUUUAUUUUUCUAUGCCUGAUUUUAACCAACAAUAAAACUAUUUGUGAUAGGAUGGUAGUGAGAUGAUGAAAAUACAAAUUAGAAGUUACUGUCAAUGAAGCUAGAAGUUACUAUCGAUAAAGCACAAAUUACAUGACCAUAUCAUCGAAAGUCUUCAAAUAACAAAGUGAAAAUUUCAGUAUUCUUUCAAUCUACUUAUGUUGGCGGUCUUUCCCUCUUACCUUUUAUUCCUAUUUUUAGUUUCAGAGAAAAAGUUUGCAAAUGGCCCGUCAUUUUCUUCUUCGCCUAAUCUGUCAAAUGCUUUUCGAAAUCUCAGUAUAGUAGACAACAUCAUGUAGGUAGAAUUCCACCAAGUUGGCACAUCUAACACCAACAUCCCUUUAUCCUCUGGUAACAACGUGCACACCAUCAAAAAUGUAAAAUAUUUGCCCUCUCUAAAAUCAAGCCACUUUUAUCCUAGUUCAUUAGCUUCUUCUUCACAUAACUCACUACCACAUCAUUAGCACUCAACUAUUAAUUGUGUAAUGGUUAUCAAACGCUUUAUCCUCCAAAUCUAGCAAAAUCAAGUUUCAAUGAUUUUUUUCAAUUGCAUCCCUUAUAUGAUUUGUUGUUUGAAAAAAAAAACCUAGUAACCUUUUUUGCAACUCCUAAUUUACAUCAACCCAACAGCAGCAACCACCAUGUACCCCAUAUUAUUAGUCGAAGUCCAAGUGUUAGAAUUGAUGUUAAUCCUUUGCUAAUUUGCAAUAAAAUAGCUUUUCAAUUUCUUUUUUCUCAUCCAAAAAAGCUAAAAGAUAUCCCUAACUGAAGUUCUUUGAUAUGAGGGUUCAGACUUUGGACACAACGCGCUCAACCGAAGGCAAAAUCUCGGUGCUUCAAAAUAGCUUCUUACUAAGGACAAAGUAAUCAGUAGUCAUCAACCUACGUGCUUCUUUUCAAACCUAUUCAAAAGAGAGAAACUAUCAUAUCUUGAACUAGGACCAUUGGCAUGGCUGAGACUCAACUCUCAUUUGAUAGGGAUUUAUUUGACUCCCCGCUUUAAGGAUAGAAUAGAUUUCCCUCCCAUAUUAAAGUGAAGGUUGUUGUUCACGCUAUGCCAUCUUAGAAUUACAAAAAAGAGUCUUGAUUGAUGUCAAGUUGUAAAAAUAUCAAUAGAGUUCUGAUUGUAAUAUAUCAAUACAUAAAAAAAAAAAAAACUAACCCACAUCGCAUUUUCACAAACUAAAAGAAAACAAAAUCAACAUAGCAAGUUUAUUUACAUUUAAUAAAAGGAGAGAAAACUAGUAAGCAACAUAUAAUUUUAAAUCUGUCAUAGGUAGGAUAUAAUAUUAAGCAACCAAGAUAGAUAAUAUUGUAACAAUAUAUCCAAAUUUUCAUUUGAUUUUACAAAUAAAUUAAGUAGGAAGAGAAGUUAAAAUUCAAUUAGAUGCAUCAAUUAAAACAAGUAUGCAUUAUAAAAAAAUAAAUUAAAAAAGACUGCCUAAUCUUUUAAAAGUUCAUAACCAAAAUGAGGUAAUGGUGGUUGAUUCAUUUGUCUCGCUAGAAGUUAUAGCAAGCCAGUGGGUAAUGUCGUAAUGGUGCUUGAUCUCAAUAAUAAUAAUAAUAAUAAUAAAGAAAAAAAAUAAAGAAGUAUCAAGCUCAAAGUCAGCGAAUUACAAGCUUUUAUUUAUAAUUUUUGGUUUGGUCGGAUUCAAUCGGUUUGAAUUUGGCUAAACCGACUCCGAAUGGAACAAGCUUGGAUUGAGAUAUUGUAAAUAGAGAUGGCCAAUAGGCUUAACCGUGCUGGCCCGACCCAUCAAAGCAAGACCCAUGCAUGGCCGUGCCCGUCUCGUGUCAUGCCCACUAUGUGUUUCGUGCCGUGCCUAAUUGUUUUUUGCUUAAGCCUGACCCAGCACACGUGUCAUGCCUAUACGUGUCGUGCUGUGCCUAAGAAAAAAAGCUCAAUAAGUUUUUUUCUUUUCUUUUAAUUUUUUAAGAGCGUGUGCCAAGCUGUUGGCAUACUUUUUUUAAGUCUAAGGAAUUUUUUUUCGAUUUAUGCCUUGAUUCAAAUUUGAUAAAAUCGAAAAUUCAAAACUCAAGUUCAUAUUCAAUAAUAAUAAACUAAUAAUAGUAAGAGAAUGUAAU